UACGUAGGGGGCAAGCGUUGUUCGGAAUUAUUGGGCGUAAAGCGCUCGUAGGCGGGACUGGAAGUCCGUGUUGAAAGACCUCGGCUCAACUGAGGGACCGGCUCGGAUACUCUAGUUCUUGAGGCAAUCAGAGGGUGAUGGAAUUCCUGGUGUAGCGGUGAAAUGCGCAGAUAUCAGGAGGAACACCGGUGGCGAAGGCGGCGACCUGGACGGACACUGACGCUGAGACGCGAAAGCGUGGGGAGCAAACAGG
rnacentral:rRNA from 1 species